AUGGAUGAUCGCUAUGAUGGAGGACGAUAUGGUGAUAGGGACCGUUUUGAUGCCAGAGACAAAUAUGGGAACCGUGAUCGCUAUGCUAAUGACAGGUACCUCAAGUUCUGUUAAGAUGUGUACGGAAUUGUGUGUAGAAUAUUUUUAUUUAUCUAUUUGACAACUGAAUUUUGACUUUAUCACAGCAGUAGUGGUCUGUUCUUGUUUCAUAUUGUCUAAUUAUUUUAAUACUAUUCAUCAGUACUGUGGUGCUUAAUUUGUGAACCAUGCAGGUACCCUCCAAGUGGAGAUCGCUUUGGGAGUGAGAGAUAUGGUGGUUCAGAUCGUUAUGCUCACAAUGGUUAUGGAAAAGACAGAGCCUACGACAGGGAUGGUAUCGGAAGAGGGGGCAAUGAUAGGUACGCAAGUGGAGGGCCUGCACGAAAUGAUAGGGGCUAUAGGAACAGACCAGUUCCAUACGACAGGCCUAGCAGGGGAGGGCACCCGUCCUCCUUUGAGCGCUAUUAGUCAGUUUGUUGGAUGAUUAGCGUAAUGAAACUUGUAGAUUUUAUGCCCAUAGGCCAGUAAGUCGGUUUUGCGACAAC
rnacentral:lncRNA from 1 species